rnacentral:ncRNA from 1 species
CUGAAAUUAAAGGGGUGCUGUGAAAAGCUGAGAUUAUACCCAAUGAACCUGGAACAGGUAAUGCUGUUUAGGGAGAAGUCUCCGGACUUGU